UAUGGAAGUUGGUAGCUUAGCGGCCACGUGGCGCAUGGCGGGCGCGCCUUGUCCACGACGACUAUGCAUGUCAGUUUUCUGGAAAAAUUGUCAAAAGUGGCACACCGUCGGCGGCGGCGCGGCGCGGCGUCGGCAAUUCGCGAGCAUGCGUCUGUGUGUGCUCUGUCACGAUCUGGCCACACACACUACCGUACGUGAAGGUCGAAUAUUUAUCCCGACUCGUCGGUCUAUUGGUUCACGAAUCGACACUGCGAUAAUGAAGGAGGUCCCACUCGCUCUGCGGCAAAAGUGUGUCCGGCGAAAGGGACGGGCGGCUAGUUGCGCGUGCGCCGCCGGAGCCUCCGCCGCUGCCGGCGCGGCCGCCCUCAUCAGUCUCCCCGCGACGGGGAAGCGGUUCGCGUGUGCAACUCCGUGUCGAGCUGCGGGCUCCGAGCCUUGCGACGCACACGAAUAUUUUUAGAUAACAGCACGAAUAAUUUAUUCGUAAGGUAGUGAUCGCGCGCACUUUUGCGGAUAUCGGUAUCGGCGCAUGCGGGUUCGCGUGCGCUGCAACGACCGUCAGGCGCAGGCCACCGUUGGCAAAGUCCCGAUAGGAGUGAUGGCGCAAACGCAGGGGUUUGUCUACGCUAUUUUAGUCCAACGGUUACCAGACUUAGUCUUCAAAAUGCAUAGAAACCGCCACUAAACUGAUGUCGAUGAUGGAGUGUACCAGCAGCACGGUUCCUGAGUCAGCAUGAUGUCAUGCACGCGGUAAUGGGAGCGUCCCGCCACUCGCGUCACGUCCCAUUCCCGCCGCAUACUU
rnacentral:lncRNA from 1 species